rnacentral:rRNA from 1 species
AGAACGCAGCGAAAUGCGAUAAGUAGUGUGAAUUGCAGAAUUCAGUGAAUCAUCGAAUCUUUGAACGCACAUUGCGCCCCUUGGUAUUCCAUGGGGCAUGCCUGUUCGAGCGUCAUUUGUACCUUCAAGCUCUGCUUGGUGUUGGGUGUUUGUCUCCUGUAGACUCGCCUUAAAACAAUUGGCAGCCGGCGUAUUGAUUUCGGAGCGCAGUACAUCUCGCGCUUUGCACUCAUAACGACGACAUCCAAAAGUACAUUUUUACACUCUUGACCUCGGAUCAGGUAGGGAUACCCGCUGAACUUAAGCAUAUCAAUAAGCG